ACUGAUUUUUUAAAUUAUUCAUCAAGACAAACAGGAACAACCUUCCCAGCAGGCCCAGGCUGAUGUUGUGGAAAUUUUAAAUGCAAAAAAAGUGAUCAAAGAGCUAAGUAUACAGCUUGACAUUGUCAAGCAGCAACGAGCUCAACAAUGCCUUAGCAGUCUUGGAGCUGGAACAAAAUGAGGUUUUACGGGCCAAUAGCCAGAUUGAAGCAUUGGAACUGGAUGUCGAAAAAGAAAAAAACCUUGCGAUGCGCAAUUGGAGAUCUGGAGGCGAAACUGAAUUCGUUGACACUCACUAGCUGCAGCUGCACCAUAGGAAAGUGCGCAAGGUAGAAAUUGGGAAUUGGGAUAUCCUUAAGGUGCUAUAACACUGCCUGCAACGAAACGCUACGGAUAAUAGCGCUACUUAGUUUGAUGGAGGAAAUCCCAACACAACUUUAGGGGGUUGAAACUCCACGCUCAUGGCUUUUCCUUACUCUAGGAAUGGGGUGGAGCUUUAACCCCCCUAAAGUUGGCCAACUGAGUUGAAAAAAUAACCACAAGAAGAUCUCAAAAACAUAACUUGA